ACAAGUGAGAAUGUUGGCAUGAGUAACUUUAUGGAGGUAAAAACCCUCCACACCGAAAACCCAAGGUUUCCGAUCCACUGGCAGUCAGGGUCGGGUUAGUCGGUCCUAAGGCGAGGUCGAAAGGCGUAGUCGAUGGACAACAGGUUAAUAUUCCUGUACCAAAAUAAAAUGUGAUGGCGUAACAUAUGAGGAAAAUCGGCUUCCAGUUAAUGAAUUCUGGGGCAAAUAGUUAGCUUAUGUUUGUGUUGGUAAAUCCGCACAAAUUCGCGAGCUAUAAUGCAUGCAUGCUUUCUCGCGAGAGAGAGAUAAAGUUGUGAUUCUUGUAUCAAGAAAAACGUCUAAACUUAGUUUUAUUUUGACCGUACCGCAAACUAACACUAG
rnacentral:rRNA from 1 species